rnacentral:misc_RNA from 1 species
AAAGCUCUUUGUUUUUUGAAAGGGUGCUUUUAUGAGAUAGAGCUUUUUUAGAUAAUGCUUUUUUAGAUAAUGCUGGGGAAGGUUUUCCGGUUUAUCUCGGAGGGCUUGUAGCUCAGUUGGUUAGAGCGCGCGCUUGAUAAGCGUGAGGUCGGAGGUUCAAGUCCUCCCAGGCCCACCAAUUUACCUAUCCAUUUGCCUUUAUCCGUUUAUUUGCCGAUUUAUCGGUCCAUUGAAUUUAAGUGUUGGUAGCAGUUUUAUAAUGAUGAGAAAUCAUGCUUAUAAAAGAAUUCCUUAUAAAAGGCUUGUUUUUAAAAUGUGACGCUUAUCCAUUUCGCUUAGGCAAGAGAAACUUCAAGCGGUUCAAAUACAAAAGGCUUUAAGUUUUGCAAAACACUUUGAAUUUUGCAAAACACUUUGAAUUUUAAAGUGAUCCAAGUUCGUGAUCUCGAAUUUAAAAGUUUCGAAUGCUUUAUCCUUUUUUGGGGGCCGUAGCUCAGCUGGGAGAGCACCUGCUUUGCAAGCAGGGGG